UUUUUCCGUCUGAAGCCUCUUCAAGUCCGCCAGUCGACUUCUGCUACUUUCACAUUUCAUCCGCCGACAUAAAGAGAUGACCAAACAGAUUAACCUCCAGCUGUUGAUGACAUGGUGACUAUCUGGAGGCCACAGCCUGAUGGAACCAGGACUGCGAAGCUGCAUCCCUGUCAGUCAGGCCCCCCUCAGCGCUCAGCCACUCAGGGACCUUGUUCACUGCGUCAGCAUCUACAGUGUCAAGGUGCUUGGAAGAAGCUCGUCCCCUCUUUUCAGCCACCUUUUCUCUGGAUACCAGGAAUGAGUGCAGCGUCCCAGGGAUGGACCGAGUGGACAACCUGGCGGAGUAUUUGGUGGGGCUGAGGACUGAAACUGGACAAACACUGAGCGACCGGCAGGCCACCACCAGCAGAGCCCUGUGGUACAACCUUCUGCAUACGACCAGCAGCGAGUGGCAUACGCUGCACAAUAUAUAUUUAUUUUAUAUAUAUCUGUCGCUAAUUUCUGUGUGUGUGUGUGUUUUUGGUUACAAUUGUGUAUGU